rnacentral:rRNA from 1 species
AUGCGGCAGUUACACCAGAACAAUAAUCUCCCUUGGCUCUUAAUAGGUGGUCUGAAUGAGAUUCAGUUCCUUCAUGAAAAGGAGGGGGGCAACCCUCGUCCUGUUCAGUACAUGCAAGCUUUUCAGGAGGCUAUAGAUGACUGUGAUCUGCAUGAUAUUGGCUUCCUUGGAGAUCGAUUUACAUGGCGCAGAAGGAGGAUCAGAGAACGGCUAGACAGAGGCCUAGCGAAUGAGGCUUGGGUGAACUUAUUUCCUCAUGCGGCUUUGGAAAAUAUGGAGUUUAACCACUCAGACCAUAGACCGUUACUUCUGAAUACAGAUUACUACGCCAGUAUGGGGAACAAUACAGGAAGUGCACAUCCGAAAAGGUUUGAAGCAAGAUGGCUAAGAGAAGAAAGUUUUAAUACUCAGGUUAUGGAAGCUUGGGCAGAUGUUGGUGCGGUAUCGGGAUUAUUAAGUAUAGCUGAAAAGCUGAACAGGAUGCAUGCAAGGUUCCAUGAUUGGGACCAACGAGUGUUGAAAAAACCAAAGAAGAGAUUACGUAAAGCUCAAAAGGAUUUAGAGAAAAUAAUGUCAGGCCCCAUGGAUGAUGAGUCUGAUGCAAAAAUGAAAGAACUUACUGAACUGAUUGAGUAUCUCUUAGAAUUAGAAGAGAUCCAAGCAAUGCAAUACUCCAGGGCAACAUGGCUGACAAGUGGAGACCGUAACACUGGAUUCUUCCAAGCUUUUGCUUCAGGGAGGAGAAAGAGGAAUUAUGUGAAGAAGCUAAAAGAUAAUGCAGGCAGCUGGUUGGAAGGUAUCCCAGAAUUGAAAUCGCAUAUCCAUGAUUACUUUUCUAACCUAUUGUAA